ensembl:misc_RNA Y_RNA Y RNA
AGCUGAUCUGAGUGCAAUGGUGUUUACAACUGAUUGAUCACAACAAGUUACAGAUGUCUUUGUUCCUUCUCCAUUCCCACUGCUUUUCUUGAUUAGCCUUAA